GCUGGCGGCAGGCCUAACACAUGCAAGUCGAGCGGAUGACGGGAGCUUGCUCCUGGAUUCAGCGGCGGACGGGUGAGUAAUGCCUAGGAAUCUGCCUGGUAGUGGGGGACAACGUUUCGAAAGGAACGCUAAUACCGCAUACGUCCUACGGGAGAAAGCAGGGGACCUUCGGGCCUUGCGCUAUCAGAUGAGCCUAGGUCGGAUUAGCUAGUUGGUGGGGUAAUGGCUCACCAAGGCGACGAUCCGUAACUGGUCUGAGAGGAUGAUCAGUCACACUGGAACUGAGACACGGUCCAGACUCCUACGGGAGGCAGCAGUGGGGAAUAUUGGACAAUGGGCGAAAGCCUGAUCCAGCCAUGCCGCGUGUGUGAAGAAGGUCUUCGGAUUGUAAAGCACUUUAAGUUGGGAGGAAGGGCAGUAAGCGAAUACCUUGCUGUUUUGACGUUACCGACAGAAUAAGCACCGGCUAACUCUGUGCCAGCAGCCGCGGUAAUACAGAGGGUGCAAGCGUUAAUCGGAAUUACUGGGCGUAAAGCGCGCGUAGGUGGUUCGUUAAGUUGGAUGUGAAAGCCCCGGGCUCAACCUGGGAACUGCAUCCAAAACUGGCGAGCUAGAGUAUGGUAGAGGGUGGUGGAAUUUCCUGUGUAGCGGUGAAAUGCGUAGAUAUAGGAAGGAACACCAGUGGCGAAGGCGACCACCUGGACUGAUACUGACACUGAGGUGC
rnacentral:rRNA from 1 species